UACGUAGGGGGCAGCGUUGUCCGGAUUUAUUGGGCGUAAAGAGCGUGUAGGCGGCCAGACAGGUCCGUUGUGAAACUCGAGGCUCAACCCUCGAGACGCCGGAUGGAAACCGUCUGGCUAGAGUCCGGAAGAGGAGAGUGGAAUUCCUGGUGUAGCGGUGAAAUGCGUAGAUAUCUGGAGGAACACCGGUGGCGAAGGCGGCAUCCUGGACCGACACUGACGCUGAGGAGCGAAAGCCAGGGGAGCAAACGGGGAUUAAGAAACCCCGAGU
rnacentral:rRNA from 1 species